CGGAGGUUAUUAGAAAAUUCAAGGGAGUGUAUAUCUCAAGUGGAAAAUAUUGGACAUCCUGCUAAAAGAUAGGUCCUGGAUGCCUUUCAGAAUAUGGUUAAAGCUCUGAGUACCCUCCCCCAGGAAAAUGCAUGCAGCUUGGUGGCUUGCAUGCUGCCAUGCUGGAGAGGCCCACAUGGCAAGGAACUGACAGAGGCCUCAGCCAACAGCUAGGAAGAAACAGCUAGAAGAAAUUUGUAUGCCAAUAGACAUACAAGCAAGCUUAAGAUGAAGAUCUUUCUUCAGUCAGGCCUUGAGAUGACUAUACCCCAGGUGAAACCUUGAUUCCAGACUGUGAGAGACCCUGAAGCAGAGAGCCCAGGUAAGCUGUGCCUGGAUUCCUCACCUACAGAAACAGUGAAAACAUAAAUAUU